UGUGAGUAUUCUUAACUUAUGGCAAUAUAGUUAUUCACAUAAGUACAAUAAGAAUCUGUUUUCAUUUGUAACAGGACACAAUUGGAGAAAGUGAUUAUUGUUCCAAGGUUUUGACUGGAAUGGAGUGCUUCCCUUUAAGGAAUCAAACUUGUAGAGCCAAUAAAAGCCCCUUGGGAAGACAGAACUCAUAACUUGUCUACACAAUCCCUGUGCAGGGUUCCUGGUCUGCCAUGUGAAGUGCUGUCUUCCCUUUGCCUUCCACCAUGAUUGUAAGUUUCCUGAGACCUCCCCAGAAGCCAAGCAGAUGCCAGCAUCACACUUCCUGUAUAGCCAGUGGAACUAUGAGGAAAUGGAGGCACAGAAAGACAAAGUAAUUUGUCCAAAGUCACACAUAUGGUAAAUUGCUGACUUGGAAUUCCAAACCAGGGACCUAUAUUUUCAUUUUGCACUGGGAUCCUCAAAUUACACAGCCAUUCUUGCAUAUUUCCCUUCAGAAGCCAAGGUGAUAAGUACCU
rnacentral:lncRNA from 1 species